AUCAAAUGCUUCUAGGGUUCCGAUCGCGCUGCUAGCGUGGUGUCUGGUCCAAGAGAAGCGGGCUCUCUCAAAUUGAAAGAGCAACACGGCGGGACAAAAGCCCGGGAGGU
rnacentral:sRNA from 1 species